rnacentral:rRNA from 1 species
GAUGAACGCUAGUGGCAGGCUUAAUACAUGCAAGUCGAGGGGCAGCACAGGUAGCAAUACUGGGUGGCGACCGGCAAACGGGUGCGGAACACGUACACAACUUACCUUAGAGUGGGGGAUAGCCCAGGGAAACUUGGAUUAAUACCCCAUAAAACAGGGGGCCCGCAUGGGCAUAUUGUUAAAGAUUUAUCGCUUUAAGAUGGGUGUGCGUAUGAUUAGGUAGUUGGUAGGGUAAAGGCCUACCAAGCCGACGAUCAUUAACUGGUGUGAGAGCACGACCAGUCACACGGGCACUGAGAUACGGGCCCGACGCCUACGGGAGGCAGCAGUAAGGAAUAUUGGUCAAUGGACGGAAGUCUGAACCAGCCAUGCCGCGUGAAGGAUGAAGGUCCUCUGGAUUGUAAACUUCUUUUAUAGGGGGCGAAAAAGGGCCUUUUUAGGUCAACUGACGGUACCCUAUGAAUAAGCACCGGCUAACUCCGUGCCAGCCGCCGCCGUAA